GCAUCUUGAUCCACAUACAGACUUCAUAAGUACUUGACUGUACCCAGUAGCCUUCCGUCACUACAUUAAAAAUCUAGAUAGUCUGACACCAAAACACAGUGAGUUGCUUACAAGUCACUAUGGUGAUCUCAGAUUUGAAGGAUAUUUAUACACAUGUGCUUCACGAGUAGCUCUUGACAGCAGAAUGCUCAGCUGAUGAGUCACUUGUUCCAUAAUGAUGUGCUCCUACAUCUCACCUAUAUGCCAUAUUAGUGUCACCACACUCUUUGGUUAAGAAGACAAUCAAUCC
rnacentral:lncRNA from 1 species